rnacentral:misc_RNA from 1 species
UACCACUUUCCCCAGCAGUCACGACACUAUCACGAAGUUUAUAAACCCUAAUCAGAACUCCCAACGCUGUGUCAUUGGCAACCUCGCACAUCUCAUCAAUGGCGUUUCAAGUGGCGAUUCUUACUCGAAACAAAACCCUAAUCAAAACCUUUAGCUCCAUCAAAUGUAUCUCCACCUUCACCUUCCUCUCCCAAGAACCCCAACUCGCCACUGAGCCAACGUACUCCGAUCCCACGACGACGACGACGACGACCACCACCACUACUCCUCUACCUCCAAACCCAGCCACUGGCAGUCCACUCUACAAUGAGAACUGGCGCAGCCCAAUCUCAAACUCAUCUCUUGGUCAGUCUUUAAUCCCAUUGGGCCGCAACCAACUAGCCUCUCUCGUCCAUCCCAUGUCUCAAAAUCUCGAUGUCAAUUCUCUGUUGAAUGUGUUCGCCGACUGGAUGACCUCGCAGCGAUGGCCCGAUAUUAAGGAACUUUUUGAAUUCUGGAUAAGGUCGCUGGACUCGAAUGGCAAGCCUAAUAAGCCGGAUGUGGAUUUGUAUAAUCAUUAUUUGAGGGCAAAUUUGAUGAUGGGAGCUACUGCUGGGGAUUUACUGGACUUGGUUGCUCAGAUGGAGGAGUUUGCCUUGUUGCCUAACACAGCUUCCUUCAAUUUGGUGCUCAAAGCUAUGCAUAAGGCCAAAGAGACUGAGGCUGCUGAGAAGUUGCUUCAAAGGAUGGAGCUUACGGGGAAUGAAUCGCGGCCUGAUGAUGAGUCUUAUGAUUUGGUUAUUGAUAUGCUGUUUUCGGCGUACCAAAUUGAUGCUGCCUUGAAAUAUGUAGAUAAGGGUUUGAAAUAUGGUUAUACUAUAUCAAUAAGAGUGUUUAAUAAUUGUGUAAGUAGCUGUGUUAACAAAGGAAGACUGGAUACUUUGGUGUCAAUUAUUGACAAGUGCAAGGUAAUUGGGACUGAUUAACUAAUUGUUAAAUCAUUCUGGGGUGCAUAUACAAAUAUUUUUAUGUGACUUUUUUUUGUGACUUUGUACAUUUGUGCUGCGCAUAGACAAUGGAUCAGAACAAAGCUCUUUGUCCAACUUGGAACAUGUGCAACUUUAUUGCAGAAGCUGCAAUACGGGAGGAUAAUAACAAAUUAGCAUUUUAUGCCUUAGAAUUUAUGGCCAAAUGGAUUGCCAGGGGUGAGAGUGCAAGGCCUGCUGUUCUACUUUCUGUAGAUGAAGGGCUGAUCAUAUCCACACUUGGAACUGCUGGCAAGACAUAUAGUUCUACUCUCUUGGAUGCAUCAUGGGAAGUUCUCCGUCACUCAUUACGUCAAAAAAAGUCCCCUCAACCAGAAUCUUAUAUUGGGAAAAUAUAUGCCUAUGCAUCACUGGGGAAUCUCCAGAAGGCUUUUAGUACUCUUCGUGAAUUUGAGUCUGCUUAUGGGAGUACGGACAAAGAAGCAGCAGGAGAAUUGUUCUCACCAUUUACUUCUUUAUAUCCUUUGGUUGUGGCAUGCUCAAAGAAGGGUUUUGAGACUCUGGACCUGGUUUAUUUUCAGUUGGAGAAUUUGAGCCGUGCAGAAAGUCCAUACAAGUCAGUUGCUGCUCUUAAUUGUAUAGUUUUAGGUUGUGCAAAUGUAUGGGACCUUGACCGUGCUUAUCAAACUUUUGAGGCGAUUGGCUCUUCCUUUGGAUUGACUCCUGAUAUUCAUUCGUACAAUGCUCUUAUGUAUGCUUUUGGAAGGCUCAAGAAGACAUUUGAGGCUGCAAGGGUGUUUGAGCAUAUGGUAAGCUUAGGGAUCAAACCCAACUCAACAUCAUAUUCCUUGCUUGUUGAUAAUCAUCUCAUCAAUCGAGAUGUGAAAUCUGCUCUCUCUGUAAUUGACGAGAUGGUGUCCGUAGGAUUUGUCCCCUCAAAGGAAACACUAAAGAAGGUCAGAAGGCGUUGUGUCCGUGAGAUGGACUAUGACAAUGAUGAUCGUUUGCACUCCUUGGCUAAACAGUUCAAAAUUCGAAUGGGUACUGAGACUCGUAGGGACAUGCUGUUCAAUCUUGAUUAUGGCACUGAUUAUGCUUGAUAGGUUGCUUAUCAUUCUUCUUGACAAAGUUUGCGCAGUUCGUAUGUGCAGUUUGUAUCGCAUGAACACUUAUUUUUAAACAAGAAUUCAUUCUUGUUUGUAAAUUACUGUGUUGUACUCAAUUUUGGGUUUUGGCAGCAUGACUCUUAGGAUCAUAGCCUCCUAUAGUCAUAAGUUUAUUUCACAUUAAAAUUAUUUUCUACAAAAGCUGCAGGGGUGGUGAGAUGAUCCAAAUAAUGGUUACUAAUAAUUGUAGGACAGUCUUUAUUAUUUAUUUAGGGUGGAAAUUCUGCUUUAGGUGAGACCAGAACUGGGAAAUGGCUUAAAUGUCAGUUUCUUUCUUUACCCCUCGUUUGGAAUUUGCCUGCUUUCUGUAAAUGCUGAUACUAAUUUUGGGCAGUAAGGAUUUUGUUUUGCAACUCAUUUUUGUGGAGCUUAUAUUUUAUUAUUAUUUUUUUCUAAUGUGAAUUGUUACUUUUCUUUUCAUGCGAGGGAGGUUGCCUUAUUGCAGUUUUGCAGGUUUUGCAGGAGAAUUAGAACUUGGUUUAACAAGGGAAAUGAUGAGAUGCCACGCCUAGAGCCAAUUUGUCUAUGGGAUAGAGCUUUGGGAAUAGGUUGGGUUGUAUCCAUUUCCAUAGAAACCAGCAAUGCAAAGAACUGAAUCUUCUUAGAAUUACUUUUAAGAAAAACAUAUUAGUUAAAGGCUUGUUAAAAAUUAAUUUAAUGGAAUGUGAUAUUAAGGCGUGUAAACUUCAAUAACAUUAAAUUUCUAUGCGACUUUCAAUAAUAGUUU